rnacentral:misc_RNA from 1 species
GAUGAAGAACGUAGCGAAAUGCGAUAAGUAAUGUGAAUUGCAGAAUUCAGUGAAUCAUCGAGUCUUUGAACGCACAUUGCGCCCCCUGGUAUUCCGGGCGGCAUGCCUGUCCGAGCGUCAUUGCUGCCCUCAAGCACGGCUUGUGUGUUGGGCCGUCGUCCCCCUCCUAGGGGACGGGCCCGAAAGGCAGCGGCGGCACCGCGUCCGGUCCUCGAGCGUAUGGGGCUUCGUCACCCGCUCCGUAGGCCCGGCCGGCGCUUGCCGACGACCAUCAAUCUCUUUCUCCAGGUUGACCUCGGAUCAGGUAGGGAUACCCGCUGAACUUAAGCAUAUCAAUAAGCGGAGGA